UUGGGAGCGACGGAGACCUGAAGGCGCAAGAGCCAGACCGAGCUCUUCCUGAGGCGCCUGCGCACUACCGGGCGCCCCCCGCUGUUAACAGCCCCUUUCUCCCUGAGCUCCGCGCUACCCGAGGUGCUCCGAGGGUGCUCCGCUGCCCAGCGCGCGACUGCGGAACAGUUUUACAGCUCGCGGGGACUCAGCGGGCGACGGAGUGUGAGACAUGUCCUCGGAUUGGACACCUCAGCCGCGGUCGAUGUAACUCCCUUUCCGAUUGGUUGGAUUCAGAAUCUCUUCAUUCUGAGCUCUCAAACCAAUGCAGCUUAGCUGUGGGAGAAGGAUUGGAAACUAACACUGAACACGCCUGUCUAAUCUAUCAGGCUCUGAGGCUUCACACGUAUCUUUUUCAUUUAAACUUUCCACCGACACUUUGAGGAAGGAGUUAUUUACAUUUUUACAAAUAGAGAAACCAAGCCUCAGAAAAGCAUGAAUGACAUAAUAGAAAGAAGUCUCCUUAAUAUAAAGAACACAGACAUCUUUGAUGCCGCAGCAAGAACCUAAGAAGCUGAAAAUGACCGCUGUGUACUUAUUUCUCAUUUAGUUAGAGUGACUCAGUUCUACAAUGUUUGAAAAACCCUGUGUAAACUGACCAAAUUGAGUCUUUGUACAUGCAAAACAGAAGACUAGACAUUGGCCCCACAGUUAUCCAAGACAAUGGGCAGGGCUGCUGUAGUCCCAGUUGGAUCCUUUCUGUGGAAUAGCUAAUUUGUAAAUUUCCUCAGUUGUACAUGCAGACCUACUCAGGUCUGCCUGCAAAAGGAUCCACCAAAUCAAUAAACAUGAAUGAUGAAGACUACAGCACCAUCUAUGACAGAAUCCAAAACGAGAGGGCAUAUGAGAAUUCAGACCAGCCAGCAGAAGACGGAGGUCCCCUUUACAAUGAUGUCCAUGACGACUUGAAGGCAGAAGACAAUUUAUAUGCCACUGAGUUGGAAACCCAUGGGUAUGACUCUGUGGCCAUUUAUGCUGUUGUUGGUCAGGAGAGCACCUCAGCCUCUUUUCAACAAGAAAUAGGAGAAUACCUCCUGCCUGAAAAUGUCUAUCCUGAGGCUCAGCAUCCUCAACCUGGGGAGUCCCAGGAGAAUGGAAGUGAGAUGGAAGCAGAUCUGCCUUCUCCUUCCAGCUUCACCAUCCAGCACAGCAGAGCCUUCUCCACCAGCGAGGACUCCCCUACCAGCUAUUCUGCUGAUGACGUUUCGGAAGAAAACGAAUCAGCUUCCACUAACCCUGAGAUUAACCUCUUUGUGAAGCUCCAUCCCUUCUGGUAUUUAGAUCUGCAAAUUCUAGCUGCCUUGACCUUCUGAAACACCAAACUCUGUUGUCUCCUCAACUCAGAAAGACCACCAGCCUCUAUUUGGGUUCUAUGCUACCUGUCUCCAAUGUCUGAAAACCAUCACUUUGUGAAGUUUGUCUGCUUUACUCAUUGUUUAAAGAAAUCUUCCAAUUGUUAAGUGUAAAUCUGGUUCCUUUUAAUCCAUCCUGGCCAGAAAUGGAGGUUGUCAAAAUUGACUUUAAGAUCCUCAUUUCACUUGGGUUGCUUCUCCUUUCUUUCCAAAUAUUGGCCCCUUAAAGUCAAGUUUGAAUUGGAGUUUGGAAUAUAGCUAUGAAGUUCAACUAGACUAAAGUCUAAUGAUAAUGACAUUAAAGUGAUAUAGUAGGAGUCAGCUAUCGCAAGUAUGUUGGCCUUCAGGCAAAGACUGCUUGCUGACCUUCCAUCUUUCCAUUUUCUUUUAAGGCUAUGUUGUCUUUUGCAAAGUCUUUAUUUUGUACCUUAAGUUCUGAGUAAUGACAAGACAGGAAAACAACUGUCCCAGCUAAUCAUUCACCAACAUAAGUCAUAAUACAAUUCCAUCUUCUCAUCUUUUAACCUCUUACCAUUCAAACCUCUGAUGAUUCCAUGAGUUCCUUGGAUGACCCUAGGAAAAGAGGUCUUCACUACUAUCAAAAGGGAAUCCUAUAUUUAAAAAAAAUUUUUUUUUUAAUUUAUUUUUGGCUGCGUUGGGUCUUCGUUGCUGUGCGCGGGCUUUCUCUAGUUGCAGUGAGUGGGGACUACUCUUCGCUGUGGUGCACGGGCUUCUCACUGUGGUGGCUUCUCUUGUUGCGGAGCACGGGCUCUAGGCAUGCGGGCUUCAGUAGUUGAAACAUGCAGGCUCAGUAGUUGCAGCACACGGGACCUAGAGCGUGCAGGCUUCAGUAGUUGUUGCGUGCGGGCUCAGUGUGGCUCGCGGGCUCUAGAGCGCAGGCUUAGUAGUUGUGGUGCAUGGACUUAGUUGCUCCGCGGCAUGUGGGAUCUUCCCGGACCAGGGAUUGAACUCAUGUCCCCUGCAUUGGCAGGCGGAUUCUUCACCACCGUGCCACCAGGGAGGUCCCAGGAAUCCUGUUUUUAAGCUACCUUCCAAUACCCAGGCCCAAAGUGUCCAGAAUGGAUUUGUGUAUAAAGUAUAUUGUGUACGUGGGAAAAUGCACUGACUGGCAGCUCUGCUCCCGAAUGACACUCCCUUAAAAAUAUGAGAUGACUCUCCCUGUGAGUGGAGCAUGAAUUUUAGCCCUGAAACCAAAUAUUUUGUGUAAUCUUGUGAGGUCAAAGAUUAAGAACCUGGGCUUUAAGCCAUGCCCCAUUUUUAUGCUUUAUGAGCAGAACCUUCCUUUCAUGAGCCUGUAGGUUUGCAAAAAUGCUAGCCUCUCAUUAUUGCCUGGACUUGGUGCACAGCAGUAACAUGGCAACAGCUGAAAUAAACAAGAGAAUGCAUUGUUUAAGAAACCACUAACGUUCUGAGGUUUCAAUGAUAACAAUCGCAGGGUAAAUAUGUAAGGUGGUAAUGAAUAACUGACAUGAGUGCCUUUUGUUAAUUGGAGUACAACUGCAUAUUUUCUUCCCCCUACAGAAGUAUAUUUGUCCUGUUCUCCUACAGUGGCAAGAAAGGAAAGAAUUUGGUGGAUAGUCUUUUUAUAUUUACAAUAGCAACCCUCUAUAAACAGGCUUGGUUCUUCUAGAACCACGCUAUUCAAAACACUAGCCAUUAGCCCUGUGUGGCUAUUUAAAUUUAAACUAAUUUAAGUGAAAAAAAUCUUAAAAAUGCUUUUCCUUAGUCAUGCUAUCCGUAUGUGGCUACUGGCUACUAUUAUGGAAAGUACAGCUAGGGAAUAUUUCUAGCAUCAUAGAAUGUUCUAUAGGACAGUGCUACUGUAGAGCGGCCUGGGUUCAGAUGUGGCAUGAAGAUCAAUCAUUUAUGUGGUCACAGGCCCUUCCUUGGGUCUUUAUUCCCUUGUCUAAAAGUAAGACGUAGGGUGAUUGCGUUUAGUGAGACAGAAGAGUGGUCAUGCCCACAAAAUAAAGAAAUCACCAGUGAAGUUUAUUCUCAUCGAUAAAUAGUAUCUGUGCUACAAGUUCAUAUGAAUCAAUUGGUUUAAAAUGGCAACUGUUUAGGAAAAGCUCUACAACUCAUAACCAGCGCUUGUGAAUCUCAGUAAAUCCGUCAAUAACCAUUGGCCAUGCCCAAACCCACUGAAGGUGUCUCUGUGGCAAUGUUAUCCAUCAAAGCUGCAGUAACUUUGAGGACUGAAGAUGCUGCCUCACCAGCCACUUGGGCCAAACAUAGCAUUAAGCCUGGAACCCAGAUACAGAGGUCAAGGUCCUUCUCCUCAAUCAAAACAACUUGCCACAGUAAAGCAGGGAGGGUUAUCUGGGGUGGGGGAAGGCGACUGCUUACUGAGAAGAUAUGAGGGUGAAGG